GGUUAAGCGACUAAGCGUACACGGUGGAUGCCCUGGCAGUCAGAGGCGAUGAAGGACGUGCUAAUCUGCGAUAAGCGCCGGUAAGGUGAUAUGAACCGUUAUAACCGGCGAUUUCCGAAUGGGGAAACCCAGUGUGAUUCGUCACACUAUCAUUAACUGAAUCCAUAGGUUAAUGAGGCGAACCGGGGGAACUGAAACAUCUAAGUACCCCGAGGAAAAGAAAUCAACCGAGAUUCCCCCAGUAGCGGCGAGCGAACGGGGAGGAGCCCAGAGCCUGAAUCAGCAUGUGUGUUAGUGGAAGCGUCUGGAAAGGUGCGCGAUACAGGGUGACAGCCCCGUACACAAAAGCGCAUGUGCUGUGAGCUCGAUGAGUAGGGCGGGACACGUGGUAUCCUGUCUGAAUAUGGGGGGACCAUCCUCCAAGGCUAAAUACUCCUGACUGACCGAUAGUGAACCAGUACCGUGAGGGAAAGGCGAAAAGAACCCCGGCGAGGGGAGUGAAAAAGAACCUGAAACCGUGUACGUACAAGCAGUGGGAGCACAGGUUUACCUGUGUGACUGCGUACCUUUUGUAUAAUGGGUCAGCGACUUAUAUUCUGUAGCAAGGUUAACCGAAUAGGGGAGCCGGAGGGAAACCGAGUCUUAAUUGGGCGUUAAGUUGCAGGGUAUAGACCCGAAACCCGGUGAUCUAGCCAUGGGCAGGUUGAAGGUUGGGUAACACUAACUGGAGGACCGAACCGACUAAUGUUGAAAAAUUAGCGGAUGACCUGUGGCUGGGGGUGAAAGGCCAAUCAAACCGGGAGAUAGCUGGUUCUCCCCGAAAGCUAUUUAGGUAGCGCCUCGUGAAUUCAUCUCCGGGGGUAGAGCACUGUUUCGGCUAGGGGGCCAUCCCGGCUUACCAACCCGAUGCAAACUGCGAAUACCGGAGAAUGUUAUCACGGGAGACACACGGCGGGUGCUAACGUCCGUCGUGAAGAGGGAAACAACCCAGACCGCCAGCUAAGGUCCCAAAGUCAUGGUUAAGUGGGAAACGAUGUGGGAAGGCCCAGACAGCCAGGAUGUUGGCUUAGAAGCAGCCAUCAUUUAAAGAAAGCGUAAUAGCUCACUGGUCGAGUCGGCCUGCGCGGAAGAUGUAACGGGGCUAAACCAUGCACCGAAGCUGCGGCAGCGAACGUAUCACUUAAAGCGAUUCAGCGGGUUACGAUUGACGGAGCGAAGCGACGUCAAAGCGUAUACAAAGUCGAGUCGGUUUAAGGAUACGUUCGUUGGGUAGGGGAGCGUUCUGUAAGCCCGUGAAGGUGGCCUGUGAGGGUUGCUGGAGGUAUCAGAAGUGCGAAUGCUGACAUAAGUAACGAUAAAGCGGGUGAAAAGCCCGCUCGCCGGAAGACCAAGGGUUCCUGUCCAACGUUAAUCGGGGCAGGGUGAGUCGACCCCUAAGGCGAGGCCGAAAGGCGUAGUCGAUGGGAAACGGGUUAAUAUUCCCGUACUUGGUGUUACUGCGAAGGGGGGACGGAGAAGGCUAUGUUGGCCGGGCGACGGUUGUCCCGGUUUAAGCGUGUAGGUGUGUGUUCCAGGUAAAUCCGGUUCACUUUAACACUGAGGCGUGACGACGAGGCACUACGGUGCUGAAGCAACAAAUGCCCUGCUUCCAGGAAAAGCCUCUAAGCAUCAGGUAACAUCAAAUCGUACCCCAAACCGACACAGGUGGUCAGGUAGAGAAUACCAAGGCGCUUGAGAGAACUCGGGUGAAGGAACUAGGCAAAAUGGUGCCGUAACUUCGGGAGAAGGCACGCUGACACGUAGGUGAAGUGAUUUACUCAUGGAGCUGAAGUCAGUCGAAGAUACCAGCUGGCUGCAACUGUUUAUUAAAAACACAGCACUGUGCAAACACGAAAGUGGACGUAUACGGUGUGACGCCUGCCCGGUGCCGGAAGGUUAAUUGAUGGGGUCAGCGCAAGCGAAGCUCCUGAUCGAAGCCCCGGUAAACGGCGGCCGUAACUAUAACGGUCCUAAGGUAGCGAAAUUCCUUGUCGGGUAAGUUCCGACCUGCACGAAUGGCGUAAUGAUGGCCAGGCUGUCUCCACCCGAGACUCAGUGAAAUUGAACUCGCUGUGAAGAUGCAGUGUACCCGCGGCAAGACGGAAAGACCCCGUGAACCUUUACUAUAGCUUGACACUGAACAUUGAGCCUUGAUGUGUAGGAUAGGUGGGAGGCUUUGAAGUGUGGACGCCAGUCUGCAUGGAGCCGACCUUGAAAUACCACCCUUUAAUGUUUGAUGUUCUAACGUGGACCCGUAAUCCGGGUUGCGGACAGUGUCUGGUGGGUAGUUUGACUGGGGCGGUCUCCUCCUAAAGAGUAACGGAGGAGCACGAAGGUUGGCUAAUCCUGGUCGGACAUCAGGAGGUUAGUGCAAUGGCAUAAGCCAGCUUGACUGCGAGCGUGACGGCGCGAGCAGGUGCGAAAGCAGGUCAUAGUGAUCCGGUGGUUCUGAAUGGAAGGGCCAUCGCUCAACGGAUAAAAGGUACUCCGGGGAUAACAGGCUGAUACCGCCCAAGAGUUCAUAUCGACGGCGGUGUUUGGCACCUCGAUGUCGGCUCAUCACAUCCUGGGGCUGAAGUAGGUCCCAAGGGUAUGGCUGUUCGCCAUUUAAAGUGGUACGCGAGCUGGGUUUAGAACGUCGUGAGACAGUUCGGUCCCUAUCUGCCGUGGGCGCUGGAGAACUGAGGGGGGCUGCUCCUAGUACGAGAGGACCGGAGUGGACGCAUCACUGGUGUUCGGGUUGUCAUGCCAAUGGCACUGCCCGGUAGCUAAAUGCGGAAGAGAUAAGUGCUGAAAGCAUCUAAGCACGAAACUUGCCCCGAGAUGAGUUCUCCCUGAGACUUAGAGUCUCCUGAAGGAACGUUGAAGACGACGACGUUGAUAGGCCGGGUGUGUAAGCGCAGCGAUGCGUUGAGCUAACCGGUACUAAUGAACCGUGAGGCUUAACCUU
rnacentral:rRNA from 1 species